AAGGAAAGGAAUAAUGUUGAAGGUAUAGUCAACAGGACAAGAAUCCCAUACCAACUCAAGAAAGACAACAUAUUUUUUUCUGUGUUGGUGUAAUGUACUCAGGUGAAUAUGAUGCUUGUGAUGUUACUCUGAGUGUGUAUCCACACCGGGCAAGCUUGAAAAAUAUGCCUGACCACGGUGGGAAUCGAACCUACGACCUUUGGAGUACUAGCCUAAUGCUCUGCCAACUGAGCUACGCGGUCUGGUCGGUUCGAGUAUGUGAUAUUUCGGAACAGAAUCUAGUUCCUUCGAUAUCAAUGUCAUCUAAUAAUAAUCAUGAUUUUUUCUGUGACAUCAAAGACAACAUAGUUAUAGCAUAUUUAGGAACACAAACACACAUUACCACACUGAUAUAUUUUAACAGAUAUUUACACAUUAUCACUAGUCGAUAAAUGCAAUUUAUUUAAAUACGUUUAUUUCCCUUCCCCGUCCCCAAUCAAUGUUGUUUUUCCAAUUCAGACACUACAGAACAAGAAAAUAAGAUAGUGCACUCGUAAAAAUCUCACAAUUUGUCAAACAAUGUUCGCAACAAGCUUGUAGCAAGCUUGUCAACAAGUUGUAACAAUGUUGUUAUUUUAUCAAGUUGCCACAAGGUUGUCACUCACUCACAGACAAAUUGUUGAAUUGCAUGACGAUAACAAGUUGUUGGAACAACCUGGAACAAGUCUGUCAAGCUCAACAACCUUGUGACAACUUUUUAACAAGCUGGGAACAAGCAGUGCGAACACAUCCUUUUGACAAGUUGUUGAAACAGCAUUGCUACAAGUCUGCUGCAGGUUCGUUACAACUUCAGUGUGCGUUUUUACGUGACAUGUGUACCUGGAAUACAACGUUCAAUACACACGUAAAAAUUCACAAGUUGUUACAAGUCUGCAAACAAGUUAAUUGUUACAAGUCUGUUCACGAGCUGUCAACAAGUUGUGUUCGUACUGCUUGUUCCCAGUUGUUGUAACAAGUUUGGAACAAUUAAGCUGUUAACAACUUGUAACCAGCUUGAUGGCAUUAUCAGACUUGUAGCAAAGUUGUUCUAACAAGCCUAAUACAGUCAUUACAUAACAAGAAUGUUACAAGGUUGUAACAAUAUUGUUAUAUCAUGACUGUAGCAGACUUGUUGGAACAACCUUGCAACAAGUCUGAUAACAUUAACAAGGUUGUUACAAGUUGUUAACAGCUUGUUCCAAACUUGUUGACAACUUGGGACAAGCAGUGCGAACAUAACUUGUUGACGGCUUGUUGGCAGACGUGCUACAAGAUGUGAGAUUUUUACGCGUGUAGAGGGCAUGGGGGAUCGGACUUUCAAAUGUUAAAAUUAUAUAAGUUUUUGGGUAUCUGUUCCAACACGUUUUGAAAAUGAUUGUGGUGCCUUCAAUUAUUUAAUCUUAAAUUUUUAUUUUAUGUAAUAUUUAUAUUCAUAAGGUGCUGCAGCCUUCUACUUUUCUUCUCCUUUUUUUCUAUAAUUUCCCUGCAUCUUGCGUUGCAAGGUAUGGGGAAGAAAUCAACUCGUGCUACAAGGCAUUAAAGAGGGAGCAGUAGCGUAGCCAGCCCGACGAUUUUAGACCCGCUAUGCAAAUAUUUUCGUGUUCAUUGACUGUGAAAACAAUCAAUUUCUAAAGAAAUGAAUAAUGAUAAUAAUUUUUAAUUUGCAUAGCGAGACUAAAUUGCCGGGCCAGUUACGCCGCUGCGAGGGAGUACAUAUUUUGUUAGGUUCUGAUGAGCGAUACGAGAAUUCCAAUAAAACCCAGAAGAAAUAGAUCAAAAUAAUUCCUCGAUAUUCUUAUCCCCGAGGAAUAUGUUGUGCCU